GCCUUUACAAUCUGAUAACUCUGAUGAGUCAGACGAUCAUGAAAAACAACCAGUUAGUCAGAAGAAAUAUAUACAAUGAUGUUCUCUUCAAUGCUUAGUUUACAGUAUUCUUCCCAUCUUCAGUAUAACCUUUAAAUAAAACAAAUAGUAGAAACUGAUUUUAACAGCUGAGGCUAACCUCUGAUGUGAGGUCACAAGUACUGAUACUUCACUUUAUGAGCAAAUAACUGCAAAAAAGUUAUGUCCUGUAUACCAUUCAUGUCUUAUCAUAAGCAGGAUAUGUUUGGGUUUUGGACUAAUGGUUGGAAAAAAACCAGUAAUAUGAAUACGUCAAUUAGGGUUCGGUGAAACUGUGAUAAGCAUUAUUUUUACUUCAAAAUAAUGAAUCGUGUAAAUAAUCUGCAGUUUGGAAAACAAUUGUUAACUGGCCGUAUCCUAUUGUCAACGUAGUGGCCUCUAAGUGCAUGUUGAGGAGGUGUAAAACAAGAAUAGACAAUCCAGCCCUCUCAUGGUGUUUGUUCUGAGGCAAAAGGACAAAUACAAACAUAUUGAUACAUAACACAGAAAUGCAGGAACUGGCAGUGGAGAAGAAGAAAACUUAAAUUCUCCCUUUGGCCACAGGGUGAGGCUCUCUGCUCACUGCAUACCCAUCUAAUCAUCUACUCAUGCAGCGUUGCAUGGCAAGGGUCAAAGGGCACCUCUGGUUGGCCUGCACCUCGAGGCCAACUGACCAAUAUCCAACCGGGCAGGAUGCAGUCACACAACUUUACAGACAUCUGGAAUGUAACCAAAGCAAGCUGCAGGGACAGAAAAUGUAGUUGGAGCCCACUCGUUCUCUCCCAACAUCUUCCCACUGCCUGCAUCAUCCGUCCAGAGAGAGAGAGAGAGAGAGGCAGAAAGACGGAAGGAGUGAGUGUGUUGUCAAGAAGGCUGACUCUUGAGGCCAGCCGUGUUCGAAACAUGGCAGCGUCAAGGGAUGCCGUUGUGCCUUUGAGGUCCUGUCGUCAUGGGUCUGUAACCAAGAGUGCUAUACUGUGGCUGUGGAGCCCCGGGCAUUUCUUAUCCCUCCAUUCCCAGUUUAUCCCUUCCUUUUCUGUUCCACAGGAAAAGAAGAACGCCGUUGUGAGAGAACCGAAAUCUUCACAGAGAGAAUGAAAGUGUCUGUAAUAUAAUGGCGACAGGCCGAGAGUCAAUCAGUUCAAAUGAAGGAGCAGACAGACAGCCACACGCGCUUUAUUAUAGGUACACGUUUGCUAUUUAAUGCGAUCCAAUAAAACUGCUCUGCCCUUCAGUCUAUA